CAAAAUGGGCUAGCCUCCACCAUGUUGAUGAGACCCGUCUUGAACUCAAAGUUCGCAUUCCUCGUGUUGACCAUAGGUCCAGCAGGAACCUAAGAGGUCGAGGGAGCCGAGAACUCUCCAAGGGUCUUCUAGGACAUCGCGUUUAAUAUUGAUGGUGCAAUGAAAGCUGGAUCGGGUGCCGAGAGGAUUAUCUGAGGAGGGAUGAUAUGAGAUCUUACUCUUCCCACCAAUGACUCCAGAUUCUCGAUGAAGUUUGUCGGCAAGUUGAAACCAGUACACUACCUAUUUUCACAUGAGAGAGAAAACAAAGCAAGGUUAACUUGUUUAAGCAGUGGCUACCAAUCAAGGAUACAUUCAUAGAACAUUAGUAAAACUCUUAACCAGUGCCUUCCCCGGAAAUGGCGCCAGAAAUGCUUGUUGGUAUAUUUAACGAUCACGAGUAAAUUCGCAAGCGCACGGAUAUACCAUUGUAGCAUUUCAC
rnacentral:lncRNA from 1 species